rnacentral:rRNA from 1 species
AACGAACGCUGGCGGCAUGCCUAACACAUGCAAGUCGAACGAGACCUUCGGGUCUAGUGGCGCACGGGUGCGUAACGCGUGGGAACCUGCCCUUAGGUUCGGAAUAACUCCCCGAAAGGGGUGCUAAUACCGGAUAAUGUCUUCGGACCAAAGAUUUAUCGCCUUUGGAUGGGCCCGCGUUGGAUUAGCUGGUUGGUAGGGUAAAAGCCUAUCAAGGCGACGAUGCAUAGCUGGUCUGAGAGGAUGAUAAGCUACACUGGGACUGAGACACGGCCCAGACUCCUACGGGAGGCAGCAGUGGGGAAUAUUAGACGAUGAGCGAAAGCGUAGUCCAGCAGUGCCGCGUGAGUGAUGAAGGCCGUAGUGUUGUAAAGCUCUUUUACCCGGGAUGUUAGUGACGGUACCGGGAGAAUAAGCUCCGGCUAACUCCGUG